rnacentral:misc_RNA from 1 species
GAAAUGCGAUAAGUAAUGUGAAUUGCAGAAUUCAGUGAAUCAUCGAAUCUUUGAACGCACAUUGCGCUCGCCAGUAUUCUGGCGGGCAUGCCUGUUCGAGCGUCAUUACAACCCUCAGGCCCCCGGGCCUGGCGUUGGGGAUCGGCGGAAGCCCCCUGCGGGCACAACGCCGUCCCCCAAAUACAGUGGCGGUCCCGCCGCAGCUUCCAUUGCGUAGUAGCUAACACCUCGCAACUGGAGAGCGGCGCGGCCACGCCGUAAAACACCCAACUUCUGAAUGUUGACCUCGAAUCAGGUAGGAAUACCCGCUGAACUUAAGC